rnacentral:rRNA from 1 species
GACGAACGCUGGCGGCGUGCCUAACACAUGCAAGUCGAACGGAACUAAGUUUUCGGAUUUAGUUUAGUGGCGAACGGGUGAGUAACGCGUGAGGAACCUGCCUUUCAGUGGGGGACAACAGUUGGAAACGACUGCUAAUACCGCAUAAUGUGUUUUGGGGCAUCCCCGAGACACCAAAGCUUUAUGUGCUGAAAGAUGGCCUCGCGUCUGAUUAGAUAGUUGGUGAGGUAACGGCUCACCAAGUCUGCGAUCAGUAGCCGGUCUGAGAGGAUGAACGGCCACAUUGGGACUGAGAUACGGCCCAGACUCCUACGGGAGGCAGCAGUGGGAAUAUUGGGCAAUGGGGGAAACCCUGACCCAGCAACGCCGCGUGAAGGAAG